rnacentral:rRNA from 1 species
GGAAGGGGCAAGCGUUGUUCGGAAUCAUUGGGCGUAAAGGGCGCGUAGGUGGUCUUGUAUGUCUACCGUGAAAGCGUACGGCUCAACUGUAUCUUGUCGGUAGAAACUGCAGGACUUGAGGCUGGGAGGGGCUGGUGGAAUUCCCUGUGUAGCGGUGAAAUGCGUAGAGAUGGGGGAGAACACUCGUGGCGAAGGCGGCCAGCUAGACCAGUUCUGACACUGAGGCGCGACAGCGUGGGGAGCAAACAGGAUUAGAUACCCUGGUAGUCCACGCUGUAAACGAUGGGCACUAGGUGCCGGCGGUCUUGAUCCCGUCGGUGCCGGCGCUAACGCAGUAAGUGCCCCGCCUGGGGAGUACGGUCGCAAGGCUGAA